GCCCUCCAGGACCAGCAGGUUGCAAAGUGCCAGACCCUCAGCCCAGACCCAGUCCACAGCUCGGGCCCAGGGCUCAACAAGGGUGAGCCACAGAAGAAGAGAGGGAGAGAGAAAGAGACACCAGCAGCACAGCUCCACCACUUGUGCAGGUGGAGUGCAUCCUACAGAGCUGUUUAAAACAAGAAGUGGUGGAAGGCUGGAGUGCACCUGGCUCAGAGCACUAGUUACAAGCUGCUGGGUUCAAGACACGGGUCCCCAUGAAGAGGAAGAGCUUCACAAGUAGUUGAAGCAGUGCUGCAGGUGUCUCUCCUCUCUCCCUCCAUCUCCUUCACUCUACUUUUUCUGUCACUGUCCA